UCCGUGUUACUAGCCACCAUCGUAAGCCUAACUGGUUGCCGGCGAACUGCGUAAAACACUGGCCAUCUUCUUUUUCAUCGUCUUCUCCCUUCAUCUUUUGAGGUAAGCUUGUGAUUAUGUGUUUCUUCUCUUACUUAGCUUGUAAUUAUAGACUUUGAUUUUUUUUUAAUUGGCAUUGUAGCCGUUAUUGUCAAUUUUUGUCCCGCCAGCAAUAUAUUUUUAUUGCUUCAAGUUGAAGCCCCUGUUUUCUUGUUCCAUUGGUGAGUUUGCUCACUCAAAUUAAUUUUGUUCUGCGGAAUUUGCAACGUUCAAAUGGAUUCGUUUGAAUUACUAUUGAAUUUAGCUUUAAUUUCAACAUCCAUUCUAAUGUUUUGCUAUUAGAUUUACUUUAAUUUUAUGUUUAAAGCUUCUACAGUGAAUAGCGGAGCUUGGGUUUUAGUUUCAUUUUCUAGAUAACUUGUUUAUCCUGUAUGCUCACCAAGUGCUUGUUAUAUUGUCUGAUAAGUUAUAAACAUUGCUGAUUUUAUAUUAAUAAUGUUACGUUGUAUUUUCAGAAAUUAUAAUACAAAAGUUUUUGCAAUGGCGUGCAUCUACAAACUGAAUUGACUUGUAGAAUAAGAGCUCGGAGUAGUGUUAUGUUCUUGAAUAAUUGAAAGUUCAUAUUGUGUAAGAGCAUGUAGAUGUAAAGCAUCAUUACCAUUUCUACAAAGUGCUUUCAUUCUGUUCAUAUGCUCUUCUUGAACUUUGAAAGGUGCCUCGUUCAAGUCCUAGCUAUAACUACUAGCUUUGAUUAAUUAAGUUCCUAUACUAGCUGAAACAGAUUUAUUUAAUUAAUUAAUUGUGUAUGUACUAAUUAUAUUGAAAGUAUAUGAAUUUUUUUUUAACAUGAAUGACUUCUAAAUGACUUAAAAACCUAAAGGAUGUGUGAAAUAAUGCUCAUUUCACUUGAAUGAGCCCAUUAAUACUUUUAUGUCUAUGAUUUUCAAUAUUGGCUAAAGCAUUUCAGUUAAGUGGUUUACCUAACAGAGAAAAAAAUUUAAUAGAAAACUUCAGAGUUCUAACAGAAAUAUAGUUCACUAUGCAGAUAUAGUUAUUUUACGGUAUACAAAUCAAGUUGUCCUAAUCUCAAUGCCCCAUGACCGAUUUUAUUUUAUAUAGUCAUUAAUUUUUGCCAUGGUUUUUUGUGUUUAUGAGUUUGAAAUAGUGGGAUUUGGUGUACCUUAGCAUCUUUUGAAAAUUCUCUUUAAGUGUGGCCAACAGAAAUAUACAUAUAAUCAAGUUUCUUAAUCGUGUAUAUUAGUUUUGGGUAUGAAUGUUCCUAUUGUAGUUCUAGGCAAAGCUUCUUCGUUUUGGUCUUCAGAUUUCCAGUAGGUUAAGUUAAUCAACUAUCAUAACUGGCUAGCUAGUUAUUGUCUGCCUUGGCGCCAUUACCCAGGCCAUUAUAUUGCAUAGCAUAAGGAAUAGUGAUUAGGUGAUUAUUAGUGAUUUGUUGAGCUUAUUAUUGACCAAACAAACAUAUUCGCCUUUGCCCACAACUUAGUUUGAUUAGUUAUUAGACCACAAAGAGCCUUGAUCUAUUCAUUGGCUUUAUUAUUUUUAUUUGGUUUUUCUUUCAACAAUAUUGUUGAUUUCUUAUAAAAAUAUUCAUUGGUUUUUAAACACCUAAUCAUUGGCUAUAUGAAGCUAAUUAAAAAUGAGGCUUUGGAUCAAUUUCUUCUAACAAGAUACAAAUGAGCAUAACCUUUCUCCUCUAAGUAAAUUUUUUUAAUAUCCUUGAUUUGUAAGGAUCUGGAGACCUGAAAUCCUCUAGAUGUUUUUUAACAUUGUCAAUAUUCUUUUUAUUCUGAAAAGGAAAUAAAAGGUUUUAUCUUUCAUACCCUAAUAGUAAGCUGGCCUUGUCUUAACAUGGCUUCCCGAGGAUUUGCAAGAUUCAUAGUUCCCCCAACCACCACCCCCCCCCCCCUCCCACCAAAAAAAAAAGAAAGAAGGAAGAUUUUCCAAGAUUCACUACCAGGUUUUUUUUUAAUUUAUUAAUUGUGUGUACGUACUAGUUAUAUGUUGAAAGAAUAGGAAGAAGUAUUUCAACAUGAAUGACUUAAAACUUAUUGCUCAGUAAACAUAAUCUGCAUCAGUGCGAAAAUGUAUUUAUCGUUUGUAUUUUUUAUGGUUUUGCUUAAGAAAUGAUAUGUGAAAUAAUGCUACAUUGUAUCAGGAAUAAAUUGAAGAGAUUUAUGAUAUUUAUGUGUUAUUCAAAUUUCAGAUUCAAUUUUAAACUUUUGAUACGUGCAUUGAAAGCUUAGACUUGUUUAAGAAAUUAUUAAUAGACACAUGUUUUAUUAGUGUCAUCUUUGGAUGAUAGUGAGGAUCAUAUGUCUAUUAAUAAUUCUUGAAUUGUCCAAGCUUGGACAGUUUGGGAAUGCAUAGUUCUCUCUGGUAGCUAGUAGCUGAAGUUUUUUUCCCACGUAAAAAUGGGUUUUUCGGUAGCUGCUCCUCGUGUUCUCUGGGUACGUACUAGGUGAAUGGGUGUCAUGUGUUGUUUUGGCAUAACGCAUAAACACUUAUAUAGCUACGUCGUGAGCUUGGAGAAUUAUAGGGAGAUGGUGCUGAAAUUUUUAUAAACGUAGAAGAAAACUUUAGGUACUUGAGAUUGAAGAAACUUAUGCAUUCUUGAGUGGGAUAUGUAGGAUUUAUCACUUACCUUUGGUAAAUAGGAAGGGAAUGUUGACUCCUUGAAAUAUGCCCAAACCCAUGGAGUAUCUAAAUAAGUCUGAAAACCAAACACUGUUACCUACUAGACGACAAAGCAGAAAAAUUUUCUUGACUUGCUCACCUUUUAAAUAAUUGAAACUCAGCUCAAUACUUGAAUAAGUCUCUGCAGGCACCCCUUCGAAGUUUACCAUUGAAGGCUCUCGCAAGGCAUUCUUCCAUUCAUGGAGACUCUUGUUUCUCAGUGCCCUCGCUACAGUAGUCAACGCAUGGGCAAACCUCCACAUGCCUUAGCCACAUUAAUUGCUGUAGACUUGAACUUACAACUUUCAACAUCAUCACCAUUCAUUAUCUUAAACAAUCGCCAGGCUUCUUGUUCAGUUAGAUUGCCAAUCAAAAAGUUAUCUUUGGAGCCCAUACUUAAAAGCACAUUAUUAUCUCUUGCUGUCAGCAAUAGUCUGAUAGGUCCCGAUCAAAUACAGAAAAGCAGUGCCUGAUAUUCGUUCAAUUUAUGGUAUGAACAACCAGUAUUUGUUUUGACUAAUUUCCUUCCUUUUAAUCGUCAUGGUUGCUGCUUAUUUAUCCAGAUAAACAUAAAGUAUACUACUGAUUUGUAGCCUAAAACCUUGGCUCAAAUCCAGCCAAAUCAAAUCAAUAUUAACAACUAGAUAAAAACAAAACAGAAAAUAAAUUAACUUGAUUCUUGGCAACAACUUUGAUGUAGUCUUUUUGUUAGAGUACAAUUUAUGCACUAGUUUUGCAUUAUUUACUUCCUUUAAUAUCGAUGUUUUGCACUUAAUAAUAAUGAUUAACUUGUGUUUUAUUUUUGUAGGUGCAAUUCUAUUGAUUGGUGCUAAAAUUGAGCUACAAGAUGAUAUUUGAGGAUCAUUGAUUUCUUGGAGAAAUUAUGAGCUUCAGAAAAACUGUGUUGAUAAGGUGUGGGCACGUGCCGUCAACUGCGGACCUACAGUUUUUAGUUUAACGUAUUUUAUAUUUUUGGUUAUUUUUGUAAUUAUGAAUUUAAUAUUUAGAUAAUACUUUAGAUAUCAGUAUUUUAUUGUAAAAAGAACUUUAGAGGAGAAGAGGGAGAAGAGAAUUUAAGGGAGGAAUGUAUUGUGAAAAGGAGAGAUUUUUGAAAAGAGAAAAACCCUAGAUCUAAAUUUUUCUCUUUUCUCUAUGAGGAACUAAACCUAUUAUUCUGGUUGAAGGUUAAUGAAGGUUUGAUUCAUCACUACUGUGAGAUCUUUCUUAUGCUUUAAUUAUUUUAUUAUUUU
rnacentral:lncRNA from 1 species